rnacentral:rRNA from 1 species
GUUAAGCGACUAAGCGUACACGGUGGAUGCCCUGGCAGUCAGAGGCGAUGAAGGACGUGCUAAUCUGCGAUAAGCGUCGGUAAGGUGAUAUGAACCGUUAUAACCGGCGAUUUCCGAAUGGGGAAACCCAGUGUGAUUCGUCACACUAUCAUUAACUGAAUCCAUAGGUUAAUGAGGCGAACCGGGGGAACUGAAACAUCUAAGUACCCCGAGGAAAAGAAAUCAACCGAGAUUCCCCCAGUAGCGGCGAGCGAACGGGGAGCAGCCCAGAGCCUGAAUCAGUGUGUGUGUUAGUGGAAGCGUCUGGAAAGGCGCGCGAUACAGGGUGACAGCCCCGUACACAAAAAUGCACAUGCUGUGAGCUCGAUGAGUAGGGCGGGACACGUGGUAUCCUGUCUGAAUAUGGGGGGACCAUCCUCCAAGGCUAAAUACUCCUGACUGACCGAUAGUGAACCAGUACCGUGAGGGAAAGGCGAAAAGAACCCCGGCGAGGGGAGUGAAAAAGAACCUGAAACCGUGUACGUACAAGCAGUGGGAGCACGCUUAGGCGUGUGACUGCGUACCUUUUGUAUAAUGGGUCAGCGACUUAUAUUCUGUAGCAAGGUUAACCGAAUAGGGGAGCCGAAGGGAAACCGAGUCUUAACUGGGCGUUAAGUUGCAGGGUAUAGACCCGAAACCCGGUGAUCUAGCCAUGGGCAGGUUGAAGGUUGGGUAACACUAACUGGAGGACCGAACCGACUAAUGUUGAAAAAUUAGCGGAUGACUUGUGGCUGGGGGUGAAAGGCCAAUCAAACCGGGAGAUAGCUGGUUCUCCCCGAAAGCUAUUUAGGUAGCGCCUCGUGAAUUCAUCUCCGGGGGUAGAGCACUGUUUCGGCAAGGGGGUCAUCCCGACUUACCAACCCGAUGCAAACUGCGAAUACCGGAGAAUGUUAUCACGGGAGACACACGGCGGGUGCUAACGUCCGUCGUGAAGAGGGAAACAACCCAGACCGCCAGCUAAGGUCCCAAAGUCAUGGUUAAGUGGGAAACGAUGUGGGAAGGCCCAGACAGCCAGGAUGUUGGCUUAGAAGCAGCCAUCAUUUAAAGAAAGCGUAAUAGCUCACUGGUCGAGUCGGCCUGCGCGGAAGAUGUAACGGGGCUAAACCAUGCACCGAAGCUGCGGCAGCGACGCUUAUGCGUUGUUGGGUAGGGGAGCGUUCUGUAAGCCUGUGAAGGUGUGCUGUGAGGCAUGCUGGAGGUAUCAGAAGUGCGAAUGCUGACAUAAGUAACGAUAAAGCGGGUGAAAAGCCCGCUCGCCGGAAGACCAAGGGUUCCUGUCCAACGUUAAUCGGGGCAGGGUGAGUCGACCCCUAAGGCGAGGCCGAAAGGCGUAGUCGAUGGGAAACAGGUUAAUAUUCCUGUACUUGGUGUUACUGCGAAGGGGGGACGGAGAAGGCUAUGUUGGCCGGGCGACGGUUGUCCCGGUUUAAGCGUGUAGGCUGGUUUUCCAGGCAAAUCCGGAAAAUCAAGGCUGAGGCGUGAUGACGAGGCACUACGGUGCUGAAGCAACAAAUGCCCUGCUUCCAGGAAAAGCCUCUAAGCAUCAGGUAACAUCAAAUCGUACCCCAAACCGACACAGGUGGUCAGGUAGAGAAUACCAAGGCGCUUGAGAGAACUCGGGUGAAGGAACUAGGCAAAAUGGUGCCGUAACUUCGGGAGAAGGCACGCUGAUAUGUAGGUGAAGUCCCUCGCGGAUGGAGCUGAAAUCAGUCGAAGAUACCAGCUGGCUGCAACUGUUUAUUAAAAACACAGCACUGUGCAAACACGAAAGUGGACGUAUACGGUGUGACGCCUGCCCGGUGCCGGAAGGUUAAUUGAUGGGGUCAGCGCAAGCGAAGCUCUUGAUCGAAGCCCCGGUAAACGGCGGCCGUAACUAUAACGGUCCUAAGGUAGCGAAAUUCCUUGUCGGGUAAGUUCCGACCUGCACGAAUGGCGUAAUGAUGGCCAGGCUGUCUCCACCCGAGACUCAGUGAAAUUGAACUCGCUGUGAAGAUGCAGUGUACCCGCGGCAAGACGGAAAGACCCCGUGAACCUUUACUAUAGCUUGACACUGAACAUUGAGCCUUGAUG